UGAUUUUUCUAAAUAGUAUAAGUAUCCAAGACAAAAUUCAAGGCGUAAUUAAAUUGUGUGUGGAAUGGAUGGUGAUUCUGGCGGCAGGAUUCUUUUCAGACUCAAGUAUAGUUAAAGGUUUUUUGCAGUUUGUUAAUUAUGGCUAGCUCUAGUAAAUCCAUUAGUUUAAAUAUUAUUCAAUGGAAUGCCCAGAGUCUGUUAGGCAAGCUUAAAUCGUUUCAAGAAUUGUUAAGAUUACAAAAAGUUCAUAUUGCUGUGGUAAGCGAAACAUGGUUGUCAAAAGAUUAUAGCGUUAGAGUUAAUGGUUAUCAGGUUUACAGAAAGGAUAGACUUGAUGGUUACGGGGGUGUAAUGAUUCUCGUACAUAACUCUAUUCAAUCUCUAAUAUCCAAUGUUGUCAUUAGUAACACAGGUAUUGAAUUUCUGAAGGUUAAGCUUUUAGGAUGCCGAGUUAUUGAAAACAUUGUUGCAAUUUAUUGUCCUAGUAAAAUAAAUACAAGUCAAACGGAUUGGGACGAAUGGCUUACACUAUAAUUCGUCUAGUACUUAAACUAUGCGCUGCCAAAAAGAAAGUUAUUUUUCAGUGGAUCCCGUCCCACUGUGGUGUUGUGGGGAACGAGGUGGUGGAUCGGUUGGCUAGGGAAGCAGCCGAAAUGGGUGUUAAAUGCCAUAAUACCCCUUGGUUCUCCGAUGUUCUGUACAAGGUCAAAAAUAUGUGCUUUGACAUGUGGUCUGAAUAUUUUGAUGAAAGAUCUCGCACAAAGGGUAUAUGGUAUAAAACGAUCCAACCCACACUUCCUCGUGCUCCAUGGUUCUCUUUCUGUAGGUUGAA